UAACAAGGUUUCCGUAGGUGAACCUGCGGAAGGAUCAUUGUCGAAUCCUGCAAAGCAGACGACCGCGAACAUGUUACCAAUUACCUCGGGGCUCGGGGCGAAUCUUGUCCUUGACGGACUUUUCGUCGCGAGUUCCGUAAYAUAACUAAACCCCGGCGCGGAUAGCGUCAAGUAUCACGUAAACAUUUUGCCGUGCGCGCUGCAAGCCGCGAUCGCGGGUGACGUGCAGUGUGCGGCGGCAACAUUGUCGUUGAACCAAAUACGACUCUCGGCAACGGAUAUCUAGGCUCUCGCAUCGAUGAAGAACGUAGCGAAAUGCGAUACUUGGUGUGAAUUGCAGAAUCCCGUGAACCAUCGAGUUUUUGAACGCAAGUUGCGCCCAAAGCCUUUAGGCCGAGGGCACGUCUGCCUGGGCGUCACGCAUCGCGUCGCCACCCCUCCCUCGAGUUAGGUGCGGGGUGACGGAUGUUGGCCUCCCGUGCAACGUUUGUGGCGCGGUUGGCCUAAACGUAAGACUCUGGCUGGCUAGAGGACACAACGAGUGGUGGUUGAAUUCUUUGUCAACUGGAGCGACGUUGUCGUCUAAAAGCCACGUCRRAAAUCACGAUGUUCGUAGACCCAAGUGCCAAAUAUUCGCCGUCGCGAUGACGACGAUAGGAGGCCCUCGACCGCGACCCCAGGUCAGGCGGGACUACCCGCUGAGUUUAAGCAUAU
rnacentral:rRNA from 1 species